rnacentral:rRNA from 1 species
UACGUAGGGGGCAAGCGUUGUCCGGAUUUAUUGGGCGUAAAGAGCGUGUAGGCGGCCAGGUAGGUCCGUUGUGAAAACUCGAGGCUCAACCUCGAGACGCCGAUGGAAACCAUCUGGCUAGAGUCCGGAAGAGGAGAGUGGAAUUCCCGGUGUAGCGGUGAAAUGCGCAGAUAUCGGGAAGAACACCCGUGGCUAAGGCGGCUCUCUAGUACGGUACAGACGCUGAGACGCGAAAGCGUGGGGAGCGAACAGG